rnacentral:rRNA from 1 species
UUUCCGGUUGAUCCCGCCAGACCUGACUGCUAUCGGAUUGAUACUAAGCCAUGCGAGUCAUUGUAGCAAUACAAGGCAUACGGCUCAGUAACGCGUAGUCAACCUAACCUAUGGACGGGAAUAACCUCGGGAAACUGAGAAUAAUGCCCGAUAGAACAUUAUACCUGGAAUGGUUUAUGUUCCAAAUGAUUUAUCGCCGUAGGAUGGGACUGCGGCCUAUCAGUUUGUUGGUGAGGUAAUGGCCCACCAAGACUAUUACAGGUACGGGCUCUGAGAGGAGUAGCCCGGAGAUGGGUACUGAGACACGGACCCAGGCCCUAUGGGGCGCAGCAGGCGAGAAAACUUUGCAAUGUGCGAAAGCACGACAAGGUUAAUCCGAGUGAUUUCUGCUAAAGAAAUCUUUUGUUAGUCCUAGAAACACUAACGAAUAAGGGGUGGGCAAGUUCUGGUGUCAGCCGCCGCGGUAAAACCAGCACCUCAAGUGGUCAGGAUGAUUAUUGGGCCUAAAGCAUCCGUAGCCGGCUCUGUAAGUUUUCGGUUAAAUCUGUACGCUUAACGUACAGGCCGCCGGGAAUACUGCAAAGCUAGGGAGUGGGAGAAGUAGACGGUACUCGGUAGGAAGUGGUAAAAUGCUUUGAUCUAUCGAUGACCACCUGUGGCGAAGGCGGUCUACUAGAACACGUCCGACGGUGAGGGAUGAAAGCUGGGGGAGCAAACCGGAUUAGAUACCCGGGUAGUCCCAGCUGUAAACUAUGCAAACUCAGUGAUGCAUUGGCUUGUGGCCAAUGCAGUGCUGCAGGGAAGCCGUUAAGUUUGCCGCCUGGGAAGUACGUACGCAAGUAUGAAACUUAAAGGAAUUGGCGGGGGAGCACCACAAGGGGUGAAGCCUGCGGUUCAAUUGGAUUCAACGCCGGGA